AUUGAACGCUGGCGGCAGGCUUAACACAUGCAAGUCGAGCGGAUGAAAGUAGCUUGCUACUGGAUUCAGCGGCGGACGGGUGAGUAAUGCUUAGGAAUCUGCCUAUUAGUGGGGGACAACGUUCCGAAAGGAGCGCUAAUACCGCAUACGUCCUACGGGAGGAAGCAGGGGACCUUCGGGCCUUGCGCUAAUAGAUGAGCCUAAGUCGGAUUAGCUAGUUGGUAGGGUAAAGGCCUACCAAGGCGACGAUCUGUAGCGGGUCUGAGAGGAUGAUCCGCCACACUGGGACUGAGACACGGCCCAGACUCCUACGGGAGGCAGCAGUGGGGAAUAUUGGACAAUGGGGGGAACCCUGAUCCAGCCAUGCCGCAUGUGUGAAGAAGGCCUUUUGGUUGUAAAGCACUUUAAGCGAGGAGGAGGCUACCUAGAUUAAUACUUUAGGAUAGUGGACGUUACUCGCAGAAUAAGCACCGGCUAACUCUGUGCCAGCAGCCGCGGUAAUACAGAGGGUGCGAGCGUUAAUCGGAUUUACUGGGCGUAAAGCGUGCGUAGGCGGCCAAUUAAGUCAAAUGUGAAAUCCCCGAGCUUAACUUGGGAAUUGCAUUCGAUACUGGUUGGCUAGAGUAUGGGAGAGGAUGGUAGAAUUCCAGGUGUAGCGGUGAAAUGCGUAGAGAUCUGGAGGAAUACCGAUGGCGAAAGCAGCCAUCUGGCCUAAUACUGACGCUGAGGUACGAAAGCAUGGGGAGCAAACAGAUUAGAUACCCUGGUAGUCCAUGCCGUAAACGAUGUCUA
rnacentral:rRNA from 1 species